CCUACGGGGGGCAGCAGUGAGGAAUAUUGGUCAAUGGACGAGAGUCUGAACCAGCGAAGUAGCGUGAAGGAUGACUGCCCUAUGGGUUGUAAACUUCUUUUAUAUGGGAAUAAAAUGUUCCACGUGUGGGAUUUUGUAUGUACCAUAUGAAUAAGGAUCGGCUAACUCCGUGCCAGCAGCCGCGGUAAUACGGAGGAUCCGAGCGUUAUCCGGAUUUAUUGGGUUUAAAGGGAGCGUAGGUGGAUUGUUAAGUCAGUUGUGAAAGUUUGCGGCUCAACCGUAAAAUUGCAGUUGAAACUGGCAGUCUUGAGUACAGUAGAGGUGAGCGGAAUUCGUGGUGUAGCGGUGAAAUGCUUAGAUAUCACGAAGAACUCCGAUUGCGAAGGCAGUUCACUGGACUGCAACUGACACUGAGGCUCGAAAGUGUGGGUAUCAAACAGGAUUAGAUACCCGUGUAGUC
rnacentral:rRNA from 1 species